UUUAGUCAGUUUCUUCAUCAUCAUAUGUUGUCUAAGCGACACAAUUUCGACCAAAUGGCUUUACCCUUUGAGUUCAUACCUAUUACAGACAUUCAAAAGAUUCGUAGAACGAAUGUUUAAUUCAGCCCGCAUAGUUCAAGAGUUCACAGCAUCUGUUCCCUAUUUUCUUUGACCAGAAAAUUCCAACUGACCGUCAGAUAAAUGGGUAUGUCAUUUUUUUCUCCCUGAUAUAUUCUGAACCUCACCUCAGGGGACCAAUUCACAUCAAAUUCGAAGCACGUUUCGUUCGAAUAACUUCCUAAAUCGAUAUUAAUUAGUUUAACAUAUGUUCUUGCGAAUAAUCCAAUUUCAUGCCAUGACAAUCCCUAAUUUGAUGCAAUCACGAUGUCGAAGACAAUAAAAUCUAUUUCAAAAAUCGAAACGGAUCGAGAGAAACGUUAUUACUACGAGCUAUGUCAGGGAUAGUUGAAGUCGAUUCUCUUCUCUUCACAGAAGAAAAGAAACGUCAAGAAGAGAAGGAUGAUAGGGAUGGUUUGAAAUUCGAAUAUAAGGAUUCUUUUAUUUAAAAUUCGCAGCAGAUAUCGACGAAAAUCACAUUACGAAAUUAUACUAAUGAUAAGAGGCAUAAGAAGUUAUUUUUUAAAGAAAUUCUAAGGUAAUAUAAUUAU
rnacentral:lncRNA from 1 species